rnacentral:rRNA from 1 species
AUGAGAGUUUGAUCCUGGCUCAGAACGAACGCUGGCGGCAGGCCUAACACAUGCAAGUCGGACGAGAAGGUACCUUCGGGUACUGGAGAGUGGCGCACGGGUGAGUAACGCGUGGGGACCUACCUCUUAGUGGGGGAUAACGGUUGGAAACGACCGCUAAUACCGCAUACGCCCUUCGGGGGAAAGAUUUAUCGCUAAGAGAUGGACCCGCGUUGGAUUAGAUAGUUGGUGAGGUAACGGCUCACCAAGUCAGCGAUCCAUAGCUGGUUUGAGAGGAUGAUCAGCCACACUGGGACUGAGACACGG